rnacentral:lncRNA from 1 species
GAUUCCACCCAUGAGCUCUGGGCAUGUCAGGCCCUUGCAGGCAAACCUGCAGGCAUCUUUUGGAGUACCGGUUUCCAUGGAGGAGGUCAAGAGAAUACAGCGUACGUCGCCUUUUAUUUGUUUUAAAAAGAGAUCACAUGUUCGUAUUUUAUUUGUUUUAGUUCUUUGUUGCACAAUAGGGAUUGAAAUUGUAGUCAUUCCAGUUCUCCAUUUUAAUUACAUAGGCAUCACUAUUACAAAAAAAAAAAGGCAUAAACGUGUGUGGUUAAUAGCAUUUACGUAGAUGUCAAACACUUUUACUGAAUUGUUUUCAUCGGAACUCUGGUCAUCACGUGAACUGUCUACCGCAGCUCGACUAGAUAAAAUUAUCUGAUAUCUGAGUAGUUCCUUCAUACUGUUUCCUCAUAUCUGAUAUCUGAGUAGUUCUUCAUACUGUUUCUUUAUUGCAGAUUAACUGCCAUAACACAGUUAGCACAUCAUGGUAUGUUAUAUGUUCCACUGGGUUAUACAUUUGGGAAUGGCAUGUUUGAGAUGGGUGAGGUGAAGGGUGGUUCUGCAUAUGGUGCUGGAACUUAUGCCGCGGAUGGAUCUCGUGUACCAACAGAGUUAGAACUCAUGCAGGCAUUUUACCAGGGUAAGUAUGUUGCUGAAAUAUCAAAGAAGCUCAAGGGUCAGCCUCCUGUGGUUUGACAUCAAUUAUUUCAAAAAGGGGAUAUACUGUGUAAAGUCUACUGCAGAGUAUAAAAAAGAGUAAACAUUGUUUCAAAAAUAAAUAAAAAUGUAAUAUAAGUGAAUUUGUAGAUGUUCUAUUACAUAAUUACUUCCUGUGCAAAAGCAUGACAGUUUUUUUUCCUAUUUGUACUUCCUACAAUUCAAUUGUCCGGGUAGUUCUUCUUCAAUUUUCAUCAUCAGUAGAGUUUCCUCAUAGACUACAGGGAUAGACAGGAAUGACGCAUAAUCUUGGAUAAAAACCCUUGCCCUUUUGUUCUCAGUGUGGUAACAGACGAUGAAAGGUUUACCUCAUGUGGAUAUCUGGGUCGUGCCGUUAGCAGAAUCUGACCAUCCUCAAGAAGGUGCAGUGGUGAUCUAAAAACAAUAGGCGUAUCCUUUACUAUACGGCUGUCGAUGGAAAACAAUUUUGUCCAACACUCUUGUUCCUUGACACCAAAAUUUUCCAUCCUCCCUAUGUUAUUCAAAUGGAUACCUUUGCCAGUAGAAAAAGUACACAGAUCACCAUUCAAAGCGCAGUCUGACCAAUGUUCCAGUGGCCAUGGGAAGCCCCUUGAGAUCAAAAGAUAUGAUAGACCUGUCAUCGUCUAUUUCCGCCAGAUGAUGUAAGUUGUCAUAGGCGAGUAUCAUUCCUGCAGGAAUGCCAGAAGAAUACAUAAAGGGGAUGUUUGGAAGUAUUGUUUUUCCAUGAAUUGGUGUGUAGUAUACAUAUUAACUUUAAAUUCUGUUAACUCUGAAUCUCCUUGGACUGAUUCUAAAAGUAGCACUUUGUAAUUGUUGUUAUCAGUGGUAGGAUCAUGUCCAAAGCCAUAUAUAAUAUUCUCAUGACCCUUGUAGGAUUUCAGUCAAGACUCAAACUACUCAAGACAGACAAUUCAGCCCAUUGUGUUAGCUAGCCAUUUUUAUCAAACAGGUUCUUACAAAAGGUCACUCACAAGCAAUUCAUGACAUUUUUUUUUUCUUUUGGUAAAGAAUUCAUGACAUGUGUUCAGACAAUGGAGCCGAGUAUUACCAGCUCCAUGCCUUCAUUCAUAUCAUGUGUUCAGGCUUUAGGUGUGCUCAAGCUGAUGGUGGAUGAUAUAUCAUAUCAAGAUUUACCUCUCAGUCAGUUUGUAUGCUGUACAUGGUCAUGGAUUGGUUGCCUGCUUUGGAUUUUGCGAACAAAACAAACCAAUGAAACACCAUUGAUUUUUUGCCACGUCUACUUCCUAACAUUUAUCUGUUUCAUAAUUCAUUAUUGUAUAAACUACUAGCUUCUGUUGAGUUACAGAACAAAAGUCCCUCCAUCUUCUUCUUCUUCUUCUUCUUCUUUUUGUUCACCAUAUAUCUUACCAUCAACAAGACCAGCAAGACAACGUAAGCUAAAGAGGUAAGUUUCUCAUGGAUUUCUCCAAUCAUUUCAUGCAAUUUAAUUAGUUCCUUUGGAAAUAUAUGAAUUUUCUUUAAUUUAAUAUACUUUGGCUUCAAAUAAGAUCAUGUAUGAAAUUUUUUAAAGCAAUCAAACACAAAUACAUAAUCACAAUUUGUAUGAAAAUUUAUCAAGCUUUGUUUCUUCAUCUGAGUUUGCUGUUUGUAUACAAUUUAGGAUUAACAAGUCAAAUUAGCUUUGCUAAAGGCAAGCCAAUAGCCAUGACUACAACUACAACAACUAAGGUCUAUGUCAUGUAAGCAAAGUAGUAGUACUAUUUUCUUUUUGCAAGUUGUUAUUAAUUUAUAUUAUAAUAUCUUGUGAUUCUACUUGUUUGGCACUUUGGCCUAAAACUAUGGUAAAAUUGUGUGGCAGUUACUAUUCCGUGUAUGGGCAUGUUGGGACAAUGGCGCGAGAAAUUCAGCGUGGUGCUAAUAGUGUUAAUGGUGUCGAAGCCACUCUAUGGCAGGUAACUUUGUUUGGUUUUUGUGGAGUUUAUUAUAGAUUGAUACCGAUUUGAGAGAUCUUGACCCUGCUCUGAAGUUUUUUAGGUGGGAUGUGCAUUUACUGGAAACAGAAUGACCACUGAGCACUAACUUGUACUUUAAUUAUUUGGAAGGAAACAGGUACCUGAGACUCUCCCAGAUCGAAUAUUGAAUAAGAUGAAAGCUCCUCGAAAAGAAGGGGACGUUGAGGUGAUCAGGCCAGAACAACUUGUGGAGGCUGAUGGUUUCUUGUUUGGAUCCCCCUCUCGUUUUGGUAUGAUGGCAUCACAGUUCUUGGCUUUCUUUGAUUCCACUCGUGAGCUCUAUGCAUGUCAGGCCCUUGCAGGCAAACCUGCAGGCAUCUUUUGGAGCACCGGUUUCCAUGGAGGAGGCCAAGAGAAUACAGCGUAAGUCGCCUUGUGAUUUUUUUUAAUUGAAGUUUUAAUACACACAUGGUCGUAUGUUUAAUGGUUUUAGUUUGUGGUUUCACUAGAUAGGGAAUGAAGUUGCAGUUACUUCAAUUCGCCAUGUUACUUGCAUAGGC